rnacentral:rRNA from 1 species
GUGAGGAAUUUUCCGCAAUGGGCGAAAGCCUGACGGAGCAAUGCCGCGUGAAGGAUGAAGGCCUAUGGGUUGUAAACUUCUUUUCUUAGAGAAGAAUAUUGACGGUAUCUGAGGAAUAAGCAUCGGCUAACUCCGUGCCAGCAGCCGCGGUAAUACGGAGGGUGCAAGCGUUAUCCGGAUUCACUGGGUUUAAAGGGUGCGUAGGCGGAUAAAUAAGUCAGUGGUGAAAUCAACGGGCUCAACCUGUUAACUGCCAUUGAUACUGUGUAUCUUGAAUAUGAGAGAGGUAGGCGGAAUGUUGCAUGUAGCGGUGAAAUGCUUAGAUAUGCUACGGAACACCGAUUGCGAAGGCAGCUUACUAUUUCGUAAUUGACGCUGAGGCACGAAAGCGUGGGUAGCGAACAGGAUUAGAUACCCGUGUAGUCC